AUCAGCUUCACCAACCCACCCAACGGCCGCUCUCUCCUUUUGUAUUCCCAGAAGGAGCGCUGGGCUGAAACUUCUCUUCCACCGGCUUUGCCGACUCACUUCGCCACGCGCACACAAGCACACGUCUCUUGCGUUGCCACCUCGUCGUCUUCGCUCCGUGAGCACCGACUCUGUGGCACAGCGACGACCGACCCAAUCGAGCCGAUCAGUCCGCCAGUGGACUUGCGCACGUGUGUCGACACACACCCACGUACGCACUUCAUACGUACACAUCCACAUACGCGCCGGGAGCCUCGGUGGUGGGUGUAGGAGGAGGAGGGGGGCGCCGUCACACUCGUCAGCCCCUGUCCUUCCUCCGGCUUGUAUACAGGAAGUGAACAAAACAGAAACAAAGGGUUCCCCUGCUUCCCCCUCGCUCCCUCCGUCUCUUCAUCAGUCUCCAAAUUUCUUGUGCCGAAGAAGAUUGCCUGGCGAGCCUGUGCUCCCGCGAUCACGUGCUCGUCGCCGGCAUUCGCCUUGUGCUCGAUCCCGCUUGAUCGACGUGUGGGCCGGGUGGUUUUGGUGCCACCGCCGCUGCUGCCGUUGUCUUCUCCCCUUUUCGCGUUGUUAUUUUCUUGUGUGUGUGUGUGUGUGUGUGCGUGUGCGUGUGUGGAGGGGUAUCGGCCGGCGUUGUGGCACGCCCCCCGCCGCCUCCUUCCUCCUCCUUUUCAUUUUCUGCGCCGUGUAUGUUUUUGUUUAUCAUCUCCCCCCCCUCCGCUCGCCUCCUCACGUUCGUGUCUCCUCCCCCUCUCCUGUACGCCCACUUUGCCACCGACCACACCCGCCCCGCCCCGUCCACUCUCUCUGCGUGCCGUUGUGUGCGCCUGUCUUCGGUGCCCCGCCUCCGCGGCUUGCUCUUCGAUCUCCUCUCAUCUCUUUUUCCUCUGUUCGCUCCCUCGCCCCCUUUUGACGUGGAUCGUCUCCACUGUUCAUCGUGUCUCUCGUCAUUACCUGUGCGCUGAGCAGGCCCCCAUCCGCUUCCCCCUUCCUCUGUCUCUCCCUCUCUCUGCGUGCGCGUGUGUGCGCCUGCUGGGGUUUCGCUCUUCUCAUCGUCUUUACUUUUUUUUUUUGCGGCUCGCCUAGUCUGCUCUCCUCCCCUCGAUCACGCUGUUUGGCUUUCCUGUGCUGUGUUCCUAUAAUUCGUUUUGGGGAUCGAGUCGAUACAGCCUACGUUGGUGUUUUCGUGGCCGUGGUGGUGCUGGCUGUCCCUCCCUCCCCCCUUCCCUUCCCUUCCCUUCCUUUUGCCUCACGCCUUGACGCGCUCACAGGCACGCAGAUACACUGCAACCCUUUUUUCUGUAGAUGUAUGUACUGAUACCCUGCCGCCGCCCCCGUCUCCUCCUACAUUGCUGUGCAUAUCUCACCCGCUUUCUUAUAGCAAGUUGUCAUGUAUAUCAAUCUCUCCCCCUCUCUUUCUUCUUUCUUGUCGUGCGCUUCUCUCCCUUUUCAUUGUCUGCGCGUAUCGCGCUCCGCGCGCGGCUCAAGCAUCACUGCCACGUCCCCACUAUUCUCCUGUCGUCGUGCUCUCCGUUUUCUCCGCGCGUUCGUGCGUGCGUGAGCACACGUGUCUCCCCUUCCGCUGUGUGUGAACGCGCGCGCUUGCAAACACGGCAACGUUGAAGAUGUGUGCGCAGUGAUGGUAGACUACCACGACACAACUUUUCCUUUUUCCCUUGGCGUGCUCUCACACGGGGGCAAAUCGCCAAGCGAGCGAGCGUGGCAGGCAGACACACACACACACACACACACAUACAUACGUGUCAGCGCAAGAAGUCCCUGGCGCGGUGCCGGUGCGCUUCUCGCCUUUUCGUUUCUUGCUUUUCGGCAGUGCAUCCGUUGCGCUCUAUACACCUAUCCUCUCGCUUGCUUCUCGUGUGCCGGUCCGGCAUUGCCGCACCGGCGAGGAUCGCAGCAGCAGGCUAGAACACAGCUAGGGAACGCAUGACUUACGUCAUCAUGAGCUCUUCCGCUUCUCCACUUGCCUCCUCAGCCCUUGCCGUGGGCCGAUCCUCGCCCAAUGACCGACCGCUGCUACCCUCUCCAUCCACCGCCGGUGCCUCCGCGGAGUACGCCGGCGCGCUCGCGAGGGCGGCGGCACCCUGUAACUCAUUGUCCCUGAAGUCAUCGUCGCAGUUGAUCAUCACACAACAACCCGAGCGGCCGCUGCGAGCAAGACCGCCCACGCCACCGUCGGUGGCGCAGGACCCCCGCGCGGGCGGCACUGCCGUCGCGGAUGAGCAAACACAACGGACAGAGCUGCUGGCGCUGAUCGCGCGGCUCAGCAGGUCGCUUAUGCCCGCCACAGAACGGCUUAUUCGACUCCGCAGCGCUCUCAGGGCGCUACAGGAGCAGCUCGUCGUCACCAUUCCACCCGCCGCGGUCGUCACCGCAACGGGUGGCGCCUCCGCCGGUGCGUCCAUCUCCUCCGUGAGCAUGUCGGAUACAAGUGUGUCUCCGCGCCUGUGCGUGGCGGGGACGUCGUACCCCGACAUGGAAGCGGUGCUCUAUUUUCUCGCCCACCGCGAUCCGCCGUUGCAGCGGUGCGGAACCUGCUCUGGAGCGGUUGGAGGCGCGAGUGGCGGCCGUCCUCCCACGCCGUGCACCGGGAUGCUCGUCUCCCCGCACGCGUCACCGUCUAGCAGCGUGCCGCGUAGGUGGUCGCGGCUUGAGUCUGGUGCUGGUGGCGCAGGGACGAACGCCAUGGCCUCGAGCACCGCCACCGGUGUCUCCGCCAGUGGGCUGUGGCAGACCAGCGCCAUUGGCUUCGGCGACGCCUCCUGCCCAUCGUCGCCGUCGGCGCCAUCUUUUCGAUUCCCCUCCACCCCACCGUUGGCGCCGACGCUCAUGCCCGUCACACAUGCGACGGUGCACGACUCCGCGUCCCUCAGCGGGGCCAGUAACCGCCACAGUCCGGUGAUGACAGACUCGCCAUCGCUUGAUCAGCUAACGCUGCCCACGAUGCAUGCGCGCGUUGCAUGUGGCGUACACCAUGGCAGCAUGCAGGUGUCGCGGGACAACGCGACUAUUCCACCUCACCUUCUACAGACCACCCCCCCGCUGCCGCUGCCUGCCACGGUGCCCGCGACAGGGACGACGACGACGAUGAGCGCCGCAAGCACUGGCGCAGCCGCUGUGUGCGCUGACGGUGGCAGCGUUGCAGGGCGUCUACUGGCCGCCCCCACUGCCCACAACCUACAUCCGCACCGCACCCUUUCCCCUUACCCGCCGCCCUCGAGCGUCGCCAGCGGCAGUCCGCAGGUUGCGACACCGCCACCUCCGUUGCCCGCAGCGCCGGCAAACCACCACGUGCGUCGGGUGCGCUCGACGACAUCGCUGGAGCUCCACACGUCUGGCGGCUCGCCCUCCGGCGCGGUGACGAAGGAUGCCGAGGCACCGAGCUACGAGUCGCGGACGCAGCCGCCGUCGCAGAUGGUGCCCCGCGACGCCACUUCGCCGGUGGAAGUCGCCAGCGAAGGUGGUGACGGGAGCAUGUCGGCCGGGUCCAUGAGCCUCUCCUCCACUAUGCCUGACCUUCCCGCUACCCCACCGCCGCCACUGCCCGGGUUCACCACACUGGAGGUGAGUGGUGCUUCAUGGCGUACCUCAUCGCCGCAACCUGCUACUUCCACGGUGGUCUCGCUACCGUCGCCAACACUUCAGGGCAUUGUCUUGCCAGGGGCGGAUAACUACGCGGCUGGGGCCCCCAACGGCGCCCUUGUCGCGAGCUUCCGGAGCAGAACGGGAAGCAGGCAUGCCUGCGCUGGUGCCUUUCCUUCGCCUGCUGGCGAGUCUCCGGCGCCGCCGACGCCCAUCAUGAUCAACUCACUUCCGCGCACGUCUUCGCAGUCCACGGAGGUGAGCGAGCAGCUGCAUCGCUACCGCCAGUCGCUGCUCGGCAGCUCCCUGCCGCCUGGCACGGCGCGCUUCACCACGCUGCCAACGCCAUUUAUGUCGCGGGUGGGGGCAGGCAUGCAGAGCAGCGGAGCCCGCAGCCUUCGCGAGGACUCCGCCGUUCUCUCGCGCGCCUCCUCCUUCACUCCACCAGCGAUGCGGUUUGUGCAGCGGGUGCGGCGCCGCAUGCUGACACUCAGUCAGAUGCAGCUGCAGCUUUCUGCCUGGGACCUCUUCCACACAGACCACAUCGGUGGUCGCUCUCAGGCGGCACUGCAGGUCACUGCCGCGGCGUCUGUCGUCACAAGCCCAGCCGUCUCACUGACCUCUGCAGCGCAAGGUGGUUGGCGGGCGAAGAAUGAGCCGGAAAGCCGUGGGAGCAGCAGCGAAAGCAAGUCGAGCAACUCUCGGUACCAGGAGUACUCACAGCACUCGUGUGGUGUCCACGCGAUGUCGGAGAUGCCGCAGCAGGUGCUACUGGGCCCCCACUGGCUGUUGAGCGUGAGCGAGGACGGCUUCUUGCGCUACGAGCCGCUGCCGUCCGCUGCGCAGCCGCCGCCGUACAUGCAAUCCCCGCCGGUGGCCACCACUGCUGAUUUUGCCUUCCUCUGUGUACCAUACGAGGCGCUCGCGCGCGUCAUAGGGGCAGAGGUGGGCCACCACAGCCAUAUCAGCACGAGCGGUCCGUUCGGUGUCAGCGCCGGCGGCGUCGGUGUAACCGUCAGUGGUGACGGCGCGCUUGAGGAGGUGGCGGCGGUGCUCGACGUCCUUUUUGGUCUCUUCAGCGGCUCCAGGCAGCAGCACUCGCCAGCACACCAGCAGCGGCGGCCGCCGCACCGUGGCGCGACAGGAGCAAAGUCGAGCCUCUUGACAGUGAACAACGGCGGCGGCGGCGCCACCAUUUCCACCGCACACAUACACUCUAGUAGCCCUCCCGUGCAAGAAGGCGAGGAGCCGCUGCCGCAGCCGAUGGUGUGCGCUGGCGGCGACAACGACGGGCAGCGUACUUGGCGGGACAAGCGACAUGCGGAGGCCUGCUCCAACUCCUACCCGCAGGCCACCGCUAGACCUAUCAUCGACACCGCCGGGGGAAGGGGCGGCCAUGGUGAUGCGAUGACCUCGCCCGAGGUCCACUCCCCCGAGGCUUCAUCGCCACGAAUGCGAGUCUCCAAGGCACGCAUGUCCACGGCUGCCGACUUCCCGUUGUUCAUCUCGAAGCGGAUGCAACCUGCGGGAUGCCUCGACAACGACAUUUCCCUCUUGCCGCAUCAUAGUCACGUCGUGCCGGGGCUGCCAGCUUCCUUGACCGAGGAUUGGCUGCUGCCGCUGCGUCAAGUCCUUGUCGAUCGCACGAUCUUCCUCCUUGUCAAGCCGGACAGUGAAGAGGCGCCGGCGUCGAGCCUGCGUCGUGCGAACGCGAGGUGUAGCGCCGAGGACUCGGACGGCGCCAUGAACGAACGGGUAGUGCAGCGGUUUCUGUGGUUUGCGAAGACGCGCUAUGGAGUCACGGUGCAGCCGUGGCGCGUCAUCACCUUCAGCUACCGCGAUGCGACGCGAGCUCGCAACGUGAUGCUGGCUGUCUACGGGCAGCGACUCCGUAGGAAGCAGCAGCAACACGGGCAGAGCGCCAACUGGCGGCCGACUUCGGAGACGCUGUCACAGGCGCAUCCGACCAGUGGUGCCGGCGAGGACGAUAUGGGGGGCAACGCCACUCCAGCCGAUGGCGCUGAUGUGCGCGUUGCAUCUACCGCAUCGCCCGUCCCCCGCAGCGGCUGCUCCGUCUCCCCACUUGAGUCUUCGUGCGUGACAGCUGGCUUGCCUGCGAUCCCCACCCCUGGCGGGGCGCAGACGCCGCCCGGUGCAUCCCUCAUGUCAACCUCGCGGCUCACACUAACGUCUUUGGUUGGCGGAAGCGAGUGGCGUCGUGGUCGCAAUGACGGUGCGAGUCGGCCGCACGACGACGAGGGUGGUCAGCAGGAGCUUUCAGACGCCUUCUACACGUUGUUGACACAGGAUUUGAGCGUUCAGCCGCUGUCGACGGCGCUGGAGGAGUACAGACCGUUGCUGGAGUGCCACGCUGCGACGCAGAUGUCUGCGCAGUACGGUGCGAGUGCGGGGGCGGCCUUGACAUCACCAGCCGCUGGCAUCUGCUCUCAGGCAAGCUGCGCAGGCGGGAUGGGUCCCGCCACAAGUGCGAUUGACGAGGGUGAGCAAGCCCGUGUUGACGCCGCCCGCCGGCUCUCAGGUGCGGCGGGCUCCGUCCCCGCCAUCGAGGGCCCCGCCACGGGGGACGUGAGUGACGAAGGCGUGGACGCUGCAGCGGCGGCGGCGUGCAAGCACGCGCAGGAGGUGGUGUGGCGCGCCAGCGGUGCCGCGGGCGUGAGCAGCGCUCUUCGGUACUUCCAGCACGCUGCGGUCGCGCAUCGCGUGGGGCGGGCGGCGCUUCCGGUGAUGAUGUGGUCGUGGCAGCUAUACUCGCUGCUGCCGGUCGUUAUUAAAGACGCGCAGUCGCGCCGCAAUCGACUGCGGCACAACAGUCGUCACUGCCAGCACAAACUGAAGGGGGUGCAGCGAAGCAUCACGUUACACUUGGAUGCCAGCCCGGCCAAGAACGUGGCGGCGCUGGAGGUGCGACUGCAGGCGGGGUUCAAAGAAAUGGCGCAGCGGUUUUUGCGAGACCUCCGUCGACUGUUCAUCUCGACAGCCUCGGCAGCGACGACUGCUGCAUUCUCGCCCGUCUCAAAGGUUUCGGCGCCGUCGUGGUCAGCGACAGGCGCACCAGGGCACGGGCAGCGACAGCAGCAGACGCUGCCCUUCGCACCACUGGAUGCACUGCUGGUGUACGACUCACCGGGCCUGCGAGAGGCGUACCAGCGCCUCGCUCGGGCGGCGCUUCGAUUCCACGCCUUCUACCUCGCAGGGUACUUCGCCUUCGAUGUACGAAUGCCAAGUCAGCCCUCGCGCACGGGCUACGAUGCAGCCCUCGAGAGAAAGCUCUCGCAGUCGCCACGGCCCAUAUCCGUGUACGAGCAGCGCUACGCCGCUCUCCGGGAGGCUGUGUGUCUCUCGCAGCUGCAGCUGAGGACGCCGCUGCGGAUGCUCAACGACCUCAACGUCGCCCCACCCGACGAGUCGUGCACCCGACCUGGCACUUCCUCCCCAGCGGUGCUGCUGCCGCCGCCACCGCCCACGCGAGCGGUCAACCCUGCCACCAAAACGCCGACAACUUCUGCUGUUCGACUGACCCCGUCAGGCAGUGCGGCACGAACGCCGACAACUACAAAGAGCGAGGCCGAAGAGACGCCGAUGCCGAAGGUGGAACUGCGGCCCAACUCCCGCCGCCGCUGCAGCUCCCGCAUCACGAGCGCGGCAGGCUCAGCAGCCUCGCUGGUGAAGGAGUCCUCACCGCUGCGACCUGUAAGGCGGAGAGAGCCAUCUGCCGCGCCUCCCAGAGUGUCCGUCGAAGGCGGCAGCGAUGAACGACUAUCGCAGCGGUCGUUCUUGUCACCGUCGUUUCUCGCUUCCGCUGCACGGGAGGUCGUUGCUGCCGCGGCGUCUUCGAGUGUUGCGAGCACGGAGCUAACAGCUACGAAGAACGGCAUGGACCCUGUAAGUGGCGUGCCUGGACAGGAGCGUGGGACACGGGGAAUGUCUUCAGAGCCAGCGGCAGACGAGCGUGCAGACGGCGACGGCACUCCCCGACUCAGUCUCGAGGAACUGCAGCAGCGGCGCGUUGCCAUGGAGCAUCAGCUCAUUGCGCAUGUCUCGCAGAUCAACACAGAGAUCAUCAACUUCCUGCUCGCCACUUGUGUGGCUGCCGUGCCGCAACUGCAGCGGGACUGUGUAGGUGCAGAGCUGGCGCGGGUGAAGGACGCGCAAGCGGAGAUUGUGUCGAGCUUCACGACGGCGGUGCGCGGCCGCAAAGACGCCGCCAUCGCGAUGUCUCACCUCUACGCCCGGCUCGAGGAGUGGAGCGCAGAAAUGUCACACCUCGUGUCGGUUGUGCGGUCGCGGCCAUAUCUCGAAAAGUUUAUAACGCAGCUGCGCGCGGUUCUGUGCGAGGAUCAGGUGCGCGCCCUCGCAGUCUUUCGCUGCGACAGCGGGGAUGGGCAAGACUCUGGCGCCGCGGCGUGGCAGACGCCGCAGGUAGAUGACACUUCGCCGUCGCCAUCCAGUGCAGCAACGAAGGCGCAUCGCGGGAUCUAUGCGACUGCGGUACGUCUACCUCUGACAAGUACUAGAGCAAGCGCCAGUGCUAGCGGUGGCUUGCGGGACAGCACGCUGAAAGGGUCGGCAGAGCAGCACGCCGCCGCACCUAGUCCGAGCGGCACCCCUUGCGCCUGCGCCUCGAAGUCCUUGGCAGCGGAGGUGGGCUACCGGUCUGCCAGGAUGCUGCGCUACUAUACUCGCCUCGCCUGCAAGCGGCGUGGCUCCAGCGGCAGCGACAAACUCUCCGACACCAGCAUGGCUGCCAACGCCCAGCGCAGCGGUGUGUUCGGCGAAAUGCUAGCAUCCCCGUCGCCUUCCCGGUCGCUGCGCUCCAUCCAGGGCGUCAACUCAACGUUGACGUCGCCACACUGCAGUUCACGCAUGAAAGGCGGUGGCGGCGGUGGGCAUGGAGCAUUGGGCUUGAGCGUUUCGCUGUCCAGCAUGUCGGCCGCGUGGAGUCGGGAGGAGGCGUGCUUGCGUGUCGAGGGCGGUGCCCGAACGCUGCGCGUUUAUGACGCCGAUGACGCGAAGGCCGCGGCGUUCGCCUUUUUUGCCUCCCCGACGCAGCCGGUCAUAUCGGCUGUGGCCGCAGAGGUGCUCGCGAUGCUGGAGGUGAUGAGGCGGGAGCCCCUUCGCUCCCCAUUGUCCCCCUCGGCGCCACAAGCUGUGGUCGGUGCCGAAUCAAGGGGUGCUGCGCGAGACGGAGCCGCAUCGCCGGCCACGCCGGCAGCAGCACCGGCGCACCGCUCCGUCGAUGCAGAUGGCAGCGCGUGGCAGAAGCGGCUGACGCAGUGGCGCUCCGCCAUGGCGGACGCGGAGAGGCCGGCCGAUGAUGCCUCUGCGGCGCCACUGUUGUGGAUUGUUCUGGACACGUGGGAUGAGACGCUGCUCCGCAUGCCCUAUGGACUGCUGCUGCAGCUGGACACACCCAGCUACGCCGAGUCUCUCAACCGCAUGAGCGAUGAGCUCUUGAACACGCAGGAGAGCUGGAAGAGUAACUGCGAAGACGUGCUGGCGAGGAUCCAGCGGCAGCUACAUGCACUGGAGGUGGAUCUCAACAAGAUCUGUGAUGACCGUGGUGAGGCGCGCGCCGAGUACGUGCGGGAAUUGCGGGCGGUGUUUGAUGCAGCUUCCGUCCUCAUCGCUUCCCGCGAUGACCCUGCGAUGAGCGCAUGUCCGUUUUGUGAGUUGCCAGGCAGCACUAGAGCAGGUCUUCGGGCGUGAAUGGGGCGACGGGCGGGUGGGACCACGCGGGAAGAGGCGGACUGUACCACACAAGCUGUCUCCUUCACGCCCCUUUCUCGCUUGCACCUUUCGGGUACAGUGAACUUGUCUGGGUCUCUCUCUCGGUGGGCGUCUCUGUCGAUGGCACUGCUUCGCACGGUGCCGGCACCGGCUUUCUCCUUUAUUGCUGUCUAUGUCUCUUUCCUCCAUCUGCUGAGGACGUUUUUCGGAUGGGGUGCACACACACCCCUCUCCGCGCGUGGCACCGCAGGGCCCAGUGUGUCCACUCUCUGUCUGGGAGGAAGCCGAGCAGACCCCCUAUUCCUGCCCAUGCCGAGCCACCUGUGGGCGGUAGCAGGGCCAAACACCGACGACGCCGGGGAGGCCAGGGCGAUGCACCGCUACUUGUGCCCAGCGGUUAGACCCUGGACGGCGUGGCGUCGGAGCGACCUGCGACAGUGAACACGCCCGUGCCAUCCAUGCGAUAGGCCGCGUGCCAGCGCGUCUCGGACGCAUGUCACCCUCGGCCUUCGCACCGCCUACUGGUGCGGGGAGACCCCGCGUGUCACACCCCGAGGGGGUUGGGGGGUGGGGAAUGCGCCAGGGGUGGCGACCCGCGAGGCGGGGGUUUGUGAGCAGGUAGCGUGUGAGGCCCAGGCCCUGCUCAGGUGACUGAGUCGGCGCGGUGCUGCAACUCGCGUGUGUGUGCGGCCGCUUCGCACGACGCGGAUGGUUGGGUGGGGGGCCUGUGCUCGGUGAGUGUGUGUGUGGGGGGGGAGGGUGGCGUUGAGUGGAGCUCGCGUUGCACGGCAGCGAAGUGGGUACAAGAGGGAAUGGCGGGGCUGGCAUCUCCUCUUUUCCGUUUUCCGUUUGAUGCACAGUGGGGUAAGGCGGCUCCACGAUCUUGUGUGUGUGCGUGAGAAUGUGGAAGUGGCCCUCCCCUCAGCACGGCGUCUUCUUUUUUUUUUCGCUCUCCUCGUUGCCGAUGAGGGGUUUGCGCUGCGCCGAGACGAACUUCAUGUGGAGGAAUGCCAGAACAACGCCGAGAGCCGCACGAGCGGCCAACAAGAGGACUAAGACAUGAAGGACAGUGGUGCGCCCGUCAAG
rnacentral:misc_RNA from 1 species